rnacentral:rRNA from 3 species
CCAAGGAGUCUAACAUGUGCGCGAGUCGUCGGGUCUUGAAUAGGCCCGCAGGCGCAAUGAAAGUGAAGGGCGACCCCGUUGUCGUCUGCGUUGGGAUCCUCAGACUGCCGUGUCUGGGGCGCACCAACGGCCCGUCCCGUCCGCAGCGUCGGUGGGACGGAGCGAGAGCGUACACGUUGGGACCCGAAAGAUGGUGAACUAUGCCUGGGCAGGACGAGGCCAGAGGAAACUCUGGUGGAGGUCCGCAGCGAUUCUGACGUGCAAAUCGAUCGUCAGACCUGGGUAUAGGGGCGAAAGACUAAUCGAACCGUCUAGUAGCUGGUUCCCUCCGAAGUUUCCCUCAGGAUAGCUGGCGCUCGAGGGAGUCAGUCUCAUCCGGUAAAGCGAAUGAUUAGAGGCCUUGGGGCCGAAACGACCUCAACCUAUUCUCAAACUUUCAAUGGGUGAGAAGUCCGGUUUACAUGACUGAAGCCCGGACAAUUCUCAGGAUGCGAGUGCCCAGUGGGCCACUUUU